AUGGAGAUUGAACCACUCGAUGUGUUAAUUGUCGAUGAGGCUACGCAAGUGCGAGAAUGUGAAUUGGUGAUCCCACUACGUCUGCAUCAGUUGAAACAUGCUGUUUUGCUAGGAGAUGACUGCCAACUGAGUGCAAUGGUUAAAAGCCAGAUGUGCAAAGAAGCUGGAUUCAGAAUAAGUCUUUUUGAGAGAUUGGUUAUGCUGAAUUUUGAAAAGCAUUUGCUGAAUAUACAGUACCGCAUGAGUUCUUGUAUCAGCUCAUUUCCAAUCGAUCAGUUUUAUGAGAGGAAGAUUUUAGAUGGUCCAAAUGUCUUGAGCACUUCCUAUAACAAGGAAUACACAAGCCUCCCUUUUGGCAGCUACACUUCUAUAAAUGUCAUUGAUGGAAGGGAAGACAAAGAUGGCACUGAAAAUAGUUGGAGGAACAUGGCUGAAGUUGCUAUCGUUUUGCAUCUGAUACAAAACAUCUUCAAAUCCUGA
rnacentral:rRNA from 1 species